CUGGGUUUUAUACAUGGAUGGAAAGAAGAAGUUCUAAACUGAACAGCUUCAAAGUCCACAAAAUAUUUCUUGUCUGGGGAUAUUUUAUUCAUUUAUUUAAAUGUGGUGCUGAGAAUUGAACCCAGGGCCUCACACAUGCUAGGCAAGUGCUCUACUAUUGAGCCACAACUCCAGCCCCAAUACAAUAUCUUUUUAUUUAUUUAUUUUUAUGUGGUGCUGAGAAUCCAACCCAGUGCCUCACACAUGCCAGACAAGCACUCUACUGCUAUGCUAUAAUCCCAGCCCCAGUUUUUAAAUUUUUGAUUUAAAUUCAAUGAUGCGUAAACCUGGAUUCUCUUUGCUUUUCCUUCGCAUAGUCCCUGUAUAGUCCUUACAACUAUCUAGGGAAAAAAAUUCACACCCAUAUAUGUAUAUGUAUAUACAUAAUGUAAAUAUAUAAUAUGGUUGUGUAUAUAUUUUACUUUGUGGGUUUCCCUCCACCAACUGGAAAUUGAAUUCAGGGGCACUCCACCACUGAGCUCCUUCCUUCCUUCCUUCCUUCCUUCCUUCCUUCCUUCCUUCCUCCCUUCCUCCCUUCCUCCCUUCCUCCCUUCCUUCCUUCCGUUUUGAGACAAGGUCUAACUAAGUUGUCCAGGAAGGCCUUGAAUUUGUGAGCCUCCUAUUUCAACCUCCAGAGUAGCUGGGAUUACAGGUAUAUGCCACCGUGCCUAGCCUCAUCAAAAUUCUUACUGAAUUAUAGUAAAAUGUAAAAAAUAAACAAAAGUAAUAAGAUUAAAACAACCCAGAC
rnacentral:lncRNA from 1 species